rnacentral:rRNA from 1 species
AUUGAACGCUGGCGGCAUGCCUUACACAUGCAAGUCGAACGGCAGCAUGAUCUAGCUUGCUAGAUUGAUGGCGAGUGGCGAACGGGUGAGUAAUACAUCGGAACGUGCCCUGUAGUGGGGGAUAACUAGUCGAAAGAUUAGCUAAUACCGCAUACGACCUGAGGGUGAAAGUGGGGGACCGCAAGGCCUCAUGCUAUAGGAGCGGCCGAUGUCUGAUUAGCUAGUUGGUGAGGUAAAGGCUCACCAAGGCGACGAUCAGUAGCUGGUCUGAGAGGACGAUCAGCCACACUGGGACUGAGACACGGCCCAGACUCCUACGGGAGGCAGCAGUGGGGAAUUUUGGACAAUGGGCGAAAGCCUGAUCCAGCAAUGCCGCGUGUGUGACGAAGGCCUUCGGGUUGUAAAGCACUUUUGUCCGGAAAGAAAUGGCUCUGGUUAAUACCUGGGGUCGAUGACGGUACCGGAAGAAUAAGGACCGGCUAACUACGUG